rnacentral:rRNA from 1 species
GACAGAGGGGGCGAGCGUUGUCCGGAGUCACUGGGCGUAAAGCGCGCGCAGGCGGCAACCUCUGCGUCGUGUGAAAGCCCCCGGCUCAACCGGGGGAGGCCAUGGCAAACUGGGUCGCUCGGGCUGCGUAGAGGCCCCUCGAAUUGCCGGUGUAGCGGUGAAAUGCGUAGAGAUCGGCGGGACGAAGAAGGGGGAAGCCAGGGGGCUGGCCGCAGGUUGACGCUGAGGCGCGCCUGCGUUCGGAGCAAUCCGG